GGAGGAAAAGAAACUAACUAGGAUUCCCUUGGUAGCUGCGAGCGAACAGGGAAAAGCCCAGCACCGAAUCCCGCGGCCGAUAUCGGGCGCCGGGAAAUGUGGUGUUAGGGAGGGUCCAUUAUCCCGAGGUCAAGCGGUGCGUCCAAGUCCUUCUUGAACGGGGCCACAGCCCACAGAGGGUGCCAGGCCCGUAGUGACCGCCGCCGAUCGCGGGAGGAUCUCUCCUCAGAGUCGGGUUGCUUGAGAGUGCAGCCCUAAGUGGGUGGUAAACUCCAUCUAAGGCUAAAUAUGACCACGAGACCGAUAGCGAACAAGUACCGUGAGGGAAAGUUGAAAAGCACUUUGAAGAGAGAGUUCAAGAGUACGUGAAACCGUUUAGGGGUAAACCUGAGAAACCCGAAAGGUCGAAGGGAGAAAUUCAUUCGCGUUUCGAUGUUGCGGCGUGAGACGGUCGAGUGACGGAAGGCGUUCGCGUUUUCCGCACCUUCAGUUUUUCGAUCUGCCGUCGAACGCGUGCACUUUUCUCCUGGUAGGACGUCGCGAUCCGUUGGGUGUCGAUCUACGGCCCGAGGUGGAGACCGCACGGACGGCUUGCCGUUUCGUGCGGACCCUCGGUGUCCCGGCCGACUCGCUCGACGGUAUACGAAAGGUCGAGGGCCGCUUUAAGAGCGUUCGACUCGUCGCAAGCGCGAUGGAAGCGUCGAAUAUCGGACCCAGUGCCGAUACCGAUCUCCGUCGGCUGUUGGCGACAAAGUUCUCGGACAGACCCUCUUCGACCGAUCUGCGACGCUAACGCUUUGGGUAAUUUCAGGACCCGUCUUGAAACACGGACCAAGGAGUCUAGCAUGUGCGCGAGUCAUUGGGAAUCAUUAAACCUAAAGGCAUAAUGAAAGUAAAGGUUCGUCUCGCACGGACCGAGGGAAGAUGGGCGGUUCGUCUUCAAAACGGCCGCCUCGCACUCCCGGGGCGUCUCGUUCUCAUCGCGAGAAGAGGCGCACCAAGAGCGUACACGCUGGGACCCGAAAGAUGGUGAACUAUGCCUGGUCAGGACGAAGUCAGGGGAAACCCUGAUGGAGGUCCGUAGCGAUUCUGACGUGCAAAUCGAUCGUCGGAACUGGGUAUAGGGGCGAAAGACUAAUCGAACCAUCUAGUAGCUGGUUCCCUCCGAAGUUUCCCUCAGGAUAGCUGGCGCUCGUAGCAUACGAGUUUCAUCCGGUAAAGCGAAUGAUUAGAGGCAUUGGGGUCGAAACGACCUCAACCUAUUCUCAAACUUUAAAUGGGUGAGAUCUCCGGCUUGCUCGAACUCAUGAAGCCGCGAGACACGAAUCAGAGUGCCAAGUGGGCCAUUUUUGGUAAGCAGAACUGGCGCUGUGGGAUGAACCAAACGUCGAGUUAAAGCGCCUAAAUCGACGCUUAUGGGAUACCAUGAAAGGCGUUGGUAACUUAAGACAGCAGGACGGUGGCCAUGGAAGUCGGAAUCCGCCAAGGAGUGUGUAACAACUCACCUGCCGAAGUUACUAGCCCUGAAAAUGGAUGGCGCUGAAGCGUCGUGCUUAUACUCGACCGUCAGCGGCAUGUGCGACCGUCGUCGCUUCUGGCGCGGUCAUGAAGCUCUGACGAGUAGGAGGGUCGCGGCGGCGUGCGCAGAAGGGCUGGCCGUGAGGCCGUCUGGAGCCGCCGUCGGUGCAGAUCUUGGUGGUAGUAGCAAAUACUCCAGCGAGGCCCUGGAGGACUGACGUGGAGAAGGGUUUCGUGUGAACAGCCGUUGCACACGAGUCAGUCGAUCCUAAGCCCUAGGCGAGAGCCGAUGUCGAUGUGGUGUGAAUUUAUUAACGAGACUCGAUUUUCGAAUAAUCACACGAACACACCCGUCGGGCGAAAGGGAAUCCUGGUUCCUAUUCUGGAACCUGGCAGCGGAACCGUA
rnacentral:rRNA from 1 species